GACGAACGCUGGCGGCGUGCUUAACACAUGCAAGUCGAGCGGUAAGGCCCUUUCGGGGGUACACGAGCGGCGAACGGGUGAGUAACACGUGGGUGACCUGCCUUUAGCUCUGGGAUAAGCCCGGGAAACUGGGUCUAAUACCGGAUACGACUCCGCGGUGCAUGCUGUGGGGUGGAAAGCCUUGUGCGGCUGGAGAUGGGGCCCGCGGCCUAUCAGCUUGUUGGUGGGGUGAUGGCCUACCAAGGCGACGACGGGUAGCCGGCCUGAGAGGGCGACCGGCCACACUGGGACUGAGACACGGCCCAGACUCCUACGGGAGGCAGCAGUGGGGAAUCUUGCGCAAUGGGCGAAAGCCUGACGCAGCGACGCCGCGUGAGGGAUGACGGCCU
rnacentral:rRNA from 1 species